AUUGAACGCUGGCGGCAGGCCUAACACAUGCAAGUCGAGCGGAGCGGCGGACGGGUGAGUAAUGCCUAGGAAUCUGCCUGGUAGUGGGGGAUAACGUCCGGAAACGGGCGCUAAUACCGCAUACUAUCAGAUGAGCCUAGGUGGCAUUAGCUGGUUGGUGGGGUAAGGGCCUACCAAGGCGACGAUCGGUAACUGGUCUGAGAGGAUGACCAGCCACACUGGAACUGAGACACGGUCAAGAGUCCUACGGGAGGCAGCAGAGGGGAAUAGUGCACAAUGGGCGCAAGCCUGAUGCAGCCAGGCCGCGUGUAUGAAGAAGGCCUUCGGGUUGGAAAGUACUUUCAGCGGGGAGGCGUUACCCGCAGAAGAAGCACCGGCUAACUCCGUGCCAGCAGCCGCGGUAAUAC
rnacentral:rRNA from 1 species